rnacentral:misc_RNA from 1 species
GCCGGUAGAGCUGCUGUAUAACGGAGCAGGAGCUCCAACGCAACACACAAACUCUCUCUAUUUGCCGACUGAAAGUUUGCAACUUUACUGAGAUCCAAAGAUGAUUGUAACGGCGAAGCUAAGAUUGAUGAAAACCAUGUGUUUUGCUUCAGCUUUCAGGAGCUUCCGCUUUCCAUUGCUAAGGGAAUUGGGAAUGGGUAACUUUCAAUCUCCAACCCUAUUAUUUACUUGUUCUUUCCAUUCUUCUUCGAGAGCAACUUCCGCUCACACGCAUAAAGAUGCAAGCUUGAUAUCUAAAUUCAAUUCUGCUUCUUUUAGGGACGUUG